UACGUAGGGACCGAGCGUUGUCCGGAUUCAUUGGGCGUAAAGAGCUCGUAGGCGGUCUGUCGCGUCUGCCGUGAAAACCCGAGGCUUAACCUCGUGGCUUGCGGUGGAUACGGGCAGACUAGAGGUAGGUAGGGGAGAAUGGAAUUCCCGGUGUAGCGGUGAAAUGCGCAGAUAUCGGGAGGAACACCGGUGGCGAAGGCGGUUCUCUGGGCCUUACCUGACGCUGAGGAGCGAAAGCGUGGGGAGCGAACAGG
rnacentral:rRNA from 1 species